rnacentral:rRNA from 1 species
UACAGAGGUCCCGAGCGUUUAGGCGGAAUCACUGGGCUUAAAGCGUGUGUAGGUGGAUCGUUAAGUACCUUGUGAAAUCCCACGGCUUAACCGUGGAACUGCUUGGUAUACUGGCGGUCUUGAGCCAGCUAGGGGCUACCGGAACAAAUGGUGGAGCGGUGAAAUGCGUAGAUAUCGGGAGGAACACCAGUGGCGAAGGCGACUUCCUGGCCUGUUCUUGACGCUGAGGCGCGAAAGCUAGGGGAGCAAACGGG